rnacentral:rRNA from 1 species
GACGGAAGGUGCAAGCGUUGCUCGGAAUCACUGGGCGUAAAGGGUGCGUAGGCGGCCGUGCAAGUCUGGCGUGAAAGCCCCGGGCUCAGCCCGGGAAGUGCGCUCGAAACUGCGCGGCUCGAGUGCCGGAGGGGAGAGUGGAAUUCCUGGUGUAGCGGUGAAAUGCGUAGAUAUCAGGAGGAAUACCGGUGGCGAAAGCGACUCUCUAGACGGCAACUGACGCUGAGGCACGAAAGCGUGGGGAGCAAACAGG